rnacentral:misc_RNA from 1 species
GUGAAAGAUGAGCUGAGCUCCCCAAUUUAAUAUAUAGUGUUUACAGAUCGCGCAAGUCAAAAACUCUCCGUUAAACGGUCCAUUUUAUAGUCGGACUUUAUCAUGUUAAAUUCUUGAAAUUGAGUCCAAAUGGGCCUUAGAGUUGCGUAAUAGUUAAACUUACUACGGACCUCGAGAGCUUUUGGCUGGCCCAAGUCCUAGUGCCGGUCUGGCCCAUACAUUGAAUCGUGACAAUCAUAACCAUUAUAAGUUGGCCAAUCUCGC